rnacentral:tRNA from 1 species
UUAAAGGUAGCUUAAGGAAAGCAUUGAUUUUGUAAUUCAAAGAUUGUUUUAAU